ACAGUUACCUACGCAUUCCGAUACACUUGUAAGUUCAAUCACAACAAAAAUUAAAUAACUGGUUUGAAAAAUAGCAUCCUGUGUUAUCAAUAUUGGUAACGGGGCCCAACACUUUAUCUGUACAUUACCACAGUAAUGCAUUUAUGCGGGUGUGUAACAGUAUGUGAAGUACAUAUAAUAGCUGUCUCCACCUCACCCUGCAUCAGUCGGCGACUGUUUGUCAGUGUCAUACGCAAAUUGCCAACCACAAUGUCUCGUGCAAGUUGUGCUUUAUUACUUGUUUGUUUUGUAUGCCUCACUGAGUUAUCAUGCGGAUACAUAAUAAGAGGUAGAAACUUUGACAGUGUCUUUACUAAGGAAGUACCAGCAUCUCAAGAUUUAAUUGAUGGCAAUAAACUCAGUCUCGAUCCAGAAGUGUUUGCUCCAGAAAUCCCACUUAACAAAAAGUGCAAAGCAAUAGGAGAAUUCUGCAUGAACCACAAAGACUGCUGCACCAACGCCUGUUUAGGAUAUUUGAAAAAAUGCGUUUCUGGUUAAAUAAUUAUGUAAACACGGUUCAAAUAAUAGUGACAAUAUUGGUUUA